rnacentral:ribozyme from 1 species
GGCGGAUCUCUCCUUUCCAACCACUUGAUAGGGGUCCGGAGACCCACCAUGGAAAACACAUCCUACGGCGCGACGAAUCGAAAGUCCCUCCCUGCCCCCACGGGGUAUCGAAGACCCACGUGAAGGCGGUAGAAGAACAUUUGCGUGCAACCUGGGGGAACAAUCCGACCCAUCGCUUUUACGCCGAACGUUUUGUGUGGAACCAUCGUUGUUACGUGGUCUUUUUCGUGGAGCAAAAGAACCAACCGUUUGUCGUGAUUGACGCUUCUGAAGAUCUCGGUA